rnacentral:rRNA from 1 species
GCUGGCGGCGUGCCUAACACAUGCAGUCGAGCGAGAACGCCCCUUCGGGGGUUACGUACAGCGGCGCACGGGUGAGCAACACGUGGAUAAUCUGCCCUUCGGUCUGGAAUAACCCGGGGAAACUCGAGCUAAUACCGGAUAAGACCACGAGUCGUUGGACUUGUGGGAAAAGCGGGGGACCUCUUCGGAGGCCUCGUGCCAGAGGAUGAGUCCGCGGCCCAUCAGCUUGUUGGUAAGGUAAAGGCUUACCAAGGCUAAGACGGGUAGCUGGUCUGAGAGGAUGAUCAGUCACACUGGAACUGAGACACGGUCCAGACUCCUACGGGAGGCAGCAGUGGGGAAUAUUGCGCAAUGGGGGCAACCCUGACGCAGCAACGCCGCGUGAGCGAUGAAGGUCUUCGGAUCGUAAAGCUCUGUCGGUAGGAAAGAUGUGAGUGUCGGUUAACAACCGGUCACUUGUGACGGUACCUACAAAGGAAGCACCGGCUAACUCUGUGCCAGCAGCCGCGGUAAGACAGAGGGUGCAAGCGUUGUUCGGAAUCACUGGGCGUAAAGUGCGUCUAGGCGGAGUACUAAGUCUG